rnacentral:rRNA from 1 species
UACGAAGGGGGCUAGCGUUGUUCGGAAUCACUGGGCGUAAAGGGCGCGUAGGCGGCUUUAUAAGUCGGGGGUGAAAGCCUGUGGCUCAACCACAGAAUUGCCUUCGAUACUGUAGAGCUUGAGACCGGAAGAGGUAAGUAGAACUGCGAGUGUAGAGGUGAAAUUCGCAGAUAUUCGCAAGAACACCAGUGGCGAGGGCGGCUCACUGGCCCGGUACUGACGCUGAGGUGCGAAAGCGUGGGGAGCAAACAGG